rnacentral:rRNA from 1 species
AGAGUUUGAUCCUGGCUCAGAACGAACGCUGGCGGCAGGCUUAACACAUGCAAGUCGAACGGUUGUAGCAAUACAGCAGUGGCAGACGGGUGAGUAACACGUGGGAACCUUCCUAGGGGUACGGAACAACUCAGGGAAACUUGAGCUAAUACCGUAUACGUCCGUAAGGAGAAAGAUUCAUCGCCCCUAGACGGGCCCGCGUAGGAUUAGGUAGUUGGUGAGGUAACGGCUCACCAAGCCUACGAUCCUUAGCUGAUCUGAGAGGAUGAUCAGCCACACUGGGACUGAGACACGGCCCAGACUCCUACGGGAGGCAGCAGUGGGGAAUCUUGGACAAUGGGCGCAAGCCUGAUCCAGCCAUGCCGCGUGAGUGAAGAAGGCCUUCGGGUUGUAAAGCUCUUUUACCAGGGACGAUAAUGACGGUACCUGAGAAUAGCCUGAUGCG